UACGGGGGGGGCAAGCGUUGUUCGGAAUUACUGGGCGUAAAGGGCUCGUAGGCGGCCAACUAAGUCGGAUGUGAAAUCCCCAGGCUUAACCUGGGAACUGCAUCCGAUACUGGAUGGCUUGAAUCCGGGAGAGGGAUGCGGAAUUCCAGGUGUAGCGGUGAAAUGCGUAGAUAUCUGGAGGAACACCGGUGGCGAAGGCGGCAUCCUGGACCGGCAUUGACGCUGAGGAGCGAAAGCCAGGGGAGCAAACAGG
rnacentral:rRNA from 1 species